rnacentral:rRNA from 1 species
GACGAACGCUGGCGGCGUGCUUAACACAUGCAAGUCGAACGGAAAGGCCCUGCUUUUGUGGGGUGCUCGAGUGGCGAACGGGUGAGUAACACGUGAGUAACCUGCCCUUGACUUUGGGAUAACUUCAGGAAACUGGGGCUAAUACCGGAUAGGAGAUCCUGCUGCAUGGUGUGGGUUGGAAAGUUUCGGCGGUUGUGGAUGGACUGGCGGGUUAUGCGCUUGAUGGUGGGGUAGUUGCGUACGAAGGCUUUGACGGGUAGCCGGCCUGAGAGGUGGAACGGCGUCAUUGCGCCUGCGAUACGGAGCAGAAUGGUAUGGUAGGCAGCAGUGGGGAGUCUUGCACAGUGGGGGGACGUCUGAUGCGGAAACGCUGCGUGCGGGAUGCCGGGUUAUGGGGUGUAAACAGCUUUGGCCGGUGCCGAAGCGUGCGUGACGGUAAUGGGUAAAGAAGCACCGGCUAACUACGUG